rnacentral:lncRNA from 1 species
GCCUUUCCAUUUCUUGAUAAAUGCUUCAGCUUUUUCAAGUUCUUCUUCUUCUAGUAGAAUUUUCGGAGGUUGUGCAUCAGUAAUAUCUUCAGUAUUUGUUUCUGUACUAUUCAUUGAUACGUCUGAAUUUUGCUCAACAGUUUGCAGUAAUUUAUCCCUGACCUCUGAUAAAUAUUCUUCGAUCAUUUGCAUUUUAUUGCCGCCAUGUGCAGAUAUUCUUCGGGAAACAUAGUUAAGACUUUUUUCUUCGACCAAAAUUGAUUUUUUGGGAGUUUUUUCAUAUUCAGC